rnacentral:rRNA from 1 species
UACGUAGGGGGCAAGCGUUGUCCGGAUUUAUUGGGCGUAAAGAGCGUGUAGGCGGCUAGAUAGGUCCGUUGUGAAAACUCGAGGCUUAACCUCGAGAUGUCAUCGGAAACCAUCUGGCUAGAGUCCGGAAGAGGAAAGUGGAAUUCCUGGUGUAGCGGUGAAAUGCGCAGAUAUCAGGAAGAACACCAAUGGCGAAAGCAGCUUUCUGGGACGGUACUGACGCUGAGACGCGAAAGCGUGGGGAGCGAACAGG